GCUCAGGAUGAACGCUAGCUACAGGCUUAACACAUGCAAGUCGAGGGGUAGCAGGGUAGCAAUACCGCUGACGACCGGCGCACGGGUGAGUAACACGUAUCCAACCUUCCCAUAACUCAGGGAUAGCCUUUCGAAAGAAAGAUUAAUACCUGAUAGUACUUAAGAAAGGCAUCUUUUUUAAGUUAAAGAUUUAUUGGUUAUGGAUGGGGAUGCGUUCCAUUAGAUAGUUGGUGAGGUAACGGCUCACCAAGUCUUCGAUGGAUAGGGGUUCUGAGAGGAAGGUCCCCCACAUUGGUACUGAGACACGGACCAAACUCCUACGGGAGGCAGCAGUGAGGAAUAUUGGUCAAUGGGCGAGAGCCUGAACCAGCCAAGUAGCGU
rnacentral:rRNA from 1 species